rnacentral:rRNA from 1 species
GACGUAGGGCGCGAGCGUUGUCCGGAUUUAUUGGGCGUAAAGAGCGUGUAGGCGGCCAUGUAGGUCCGUUGUGAAAACUCGAGGCUCAACCUCGAGACGCCGAUGGAAACCAUGUGGCUAGAGUCCGGAAGAGGAGAGUGGAAUUCCUGGUGUAGCGGUGAAAUGCGCAGAUAUCAGGAAGAACACCCGUGGCUAAGGCGGCUCUCUAGUACGGUACUGACGCUGAGACGCGAAAGCGUGGGGAGCAAACAGG